GCAGAACGCGAAGAACCUUACCAACCCUUGACAUGGCAGGACGGUUACCAGAGAUGGUUCCUUCACUUCGGUGACCUGCACACAGGUGCUGCAUGGCUGUCGUCAGCUCGUGUCGUGAGAUGUUGGGUUAAGUCCCGCAACGAGCGCAACCCUCGCCCUUAGUUGCCAUCAUUUAGUUGGGCACUCUAAGGGGACUGCCGGUGAUAAGCCGGAGGAAGGUGGGGAUGACGUCAAGUCUUCAUGGCCCUUACGGGUUGGGCUACACACGUGCUACAAUGGCGGUGACAGAGGGCUGCUAGUCCGCGAGGACAUGCUAAUCCCUAAAAGCCGUCUCAGUUCGGAUUGCACUCUGCAACUCGAGUGCAUGAAGUCGGAAUCGCUAGUAAUCGCAGAUCAGCACGCUGCGGUGAAUACGUUCCCGGGUCUUGUACACACCG
rnacentral:rRNA from 1 species